AAGGUCUCUCACAAGCAUACAGCAUCAAGUAUUUGCUUUAUUACUAUUACAUAAAGGACUUAUAAAGGAAGCCUCAGUCAGAGCCUCAGCCAGUCCAAACUGGACCAGGAUCACGAAUUUAGGGAAGGCAGCAAGCGUUUUCCAUCUCCUAACCUACACAAUUCCUGCCACCCUAACAAUUUAAACUAAUAUAGCACCUGGCCCCUUCUGAGUCUCCAUCUUAUUAGAAACACAUUGACUCUGACGGCUGCCUGGGAAGCCAAGAACCACAUUCAUCACUGGGGUAUCUCAUCUGACAUCAGUGAGAUCAGACUUUGGCUUUUAUCCUCCAAACAGUGCACAAUUUUUACACAGGACCUAUAUGAAAAUUAACCUUCAGCGCUGCACUAAUUCUGUGGUAUUUGGAGAAAGGCACAGAAUAUCGUUCUUUGUUCAAAAGUUCUAUUAAAAGAAUCCUUGAUCAGCUGUCUUCAUGUGAAAAGCUUUUUGUCCAUUGGUACAGAAGAAGGGAAAAGCAGCCUUGGGAUGAAGGCAGCGCUCGUGGCACUGAGAGCCCGCAACAGGCACAGAAUCGCCAGACCAGACAGGCAGCAAGCUAGUUAAGAACAAAGAUGCAGGAGACAUGUCUGCUGAAAAGAAACAAGAAGACAGGAAGAAGUUCUGUUUAAUGGACAGCAAGUGCAUGAAUCAAGAGGAGGCAAUGGAAAAAAUAAUUGUAUGGGUACUGACUGGGAAUGUUACAAAGGCCUUGCUCAGCACAUCUCUAUCUUCAGACUCGAGAGGGAAGGAAACCAUCUGCAGAGCGUAAAGUAUCCUUGGCACGACCGCGAUCCUCCAGGCAGCUGCUCUCCCGGCCAUGAGAGGGGGAGCUGGUUUCAGUGCCUCUGAUUUCCCCGUGAAUUAUGUGAAGUUCAAGUGGUUCAAACCAGUGACUGGGGUAUUUUUGCAUGUAAAUAAUCUCAUUAAGUCUUGAUCACUAACUCGAUAACUUUGUGGUUUCCUAAAUGGUCCAGUGGGGAAAAAAUAAAUGGGCUUCAUACCAAGAUCGAAUGAAUAAC
rnacentral:lncRNA from 1 species